rnacentral:rRNA from 1 species
CGGGGGAUGCCUUAGUACGGCGAGUGAGCGGCAAAAGCUCAAAUUUGAAAUCUGGUACCUUCGGUGCCCGAGUUGUAAUUUGGAGAGGGCAACUUUGGGGCCGUUCCUUGUCUAUGUUCCUUGGAACAGGACGUCAUAGAGGGUGAGAAUCCCGUGUGGCGAGGAGUGCGGUUCUUUGUAAAGUGCCUUCGAAGAGUCGAGUUGUUUGGGAAUGCAGCUCUAAGUGGGUGGUAAAUUCCAUCUAAAGCUAAAUAUUGGCGAGAGACCGAUAGCGAACAAGUACAGUGAUGGAAAGAUGAAAAGAACUUUGAAAAGAGAGUGAAAAAGUACGUGAAAUUGUUGAAAGGGAAGGGCAUUUGAUCAGACAUGGUGUUUUGUGCCCUCUGCUCCUUGUGGGUAGGGGAAUCUCGCAUUUCACUGGGCCAGCAUCAGUUUUGGUGGCAGGAUAAAUCCAUAGGAAUGUAGCUUGCCUCGGUAAGUAUUAUAGCCUGUGGGAAUACUGCCAGCUGGGACUGAGGACUGCGACGUAAGUCAAGGAUGCUGGCAUAAUGGUUAUAUGCCGCCCGUCUUGAACAAACGGACCAA